rnacentral:pre_miRNA from 1 species
UAUUAAAAAUUUCGUUCAUUUCUACUAUUAAAAUAUGGUGUAGCUGAUAGAAUAAACCAAAUAGAUAUAUGUGACGUGCGACAUGUACCUCAUUAUGAUGUACAAUGACCAGUUGUUAACAAUAAAAAUGGAUGGACUUUUUAGCA